GAUAAUAGCGAACAAAAUAGGAUACAUAUUUAAGUCAUUGUAAACCAGUCUUGGUUUGUAUUUUAUACUUCCUGUUUAUAUACCCCUGUGUCAGACUGAUUAUACCCUGUCUAAUUACAGUCAGUACAUAUUUGUGUAAAGAAAACUCCGUUUCAAGAUUACUUGCUAUCAGACAACACAAUGGCAGAUGAGGAAAAUAAGACCAUCCGUACAGCUGCAGCGGUAGGAACAUCUCCACUCUGGGUACCCGUCGCGGCGGCUGGAGGAGUUGUUUACGGAGCGGGAAAAGGUGUCAACGAGGCCAAGGAAUUCGGUAAACGACACGGCCCAGUGACUGGAAUAGCAGCAUCUCCCUUCAUAGUGGCAGGAAAUAUCCUUAAAGGUCCAUUCAAAGGAAUAAAGAAAGUCGGCGAGGCCAUGGUUGCAAAAGAUAAAUAAUUUCAGUUGAACUAACCUUUACAUUAAACAUCAGAGUACAUUAAACAUUUGAAUGCUGUACACAUGUCGCAAUAUAAUAUGCAGAGUGUUAAAAGAAUAUGUGGUUCUGAUGCGUGUUUAAUUACAUGUGGUUUUGUGCUUUGUAUUAAUGUUACAUAAUGUAAAGUUUGUUAAGAUCUGUGACAAGCUCAUCUAUAAGUUCUAAUUUGUGUUUAAUUGAACUGAUCUUCUUAUACAUUACUGAGAAAUGAACGGAGACUUUCCUGAUACUGACAGACCAAUACCAACAUUUCAUAUAGAACAUAGCAUAGAACUAAUUGUUUAGAAUUAUCAUUAUCUUGUCAGUAUAAGUACACGUCAAAAUAAACAAUUUUCAAAAUAACUAAAAAUAUUUUUCAACAUCUAAAAUAAUUGAAUUUGUGAUA
rnacentral:lncRNA from 1 species